rnacentral:lncRNA from 1 species
AUAGUUACUUGGGACAACAGUUUUAGCAGGGCUCUCUUUCUCCUUUCCUGAUCUCUCUGUUAAGCUGCCUGGCUCAUUUGAUAUCACAUCCAAAUUAUCAGCUGAUUGCUCUAUUGUUUUGGACAAUGCCCUGAAGCAUACCAAAAUGUGUCUGGAAUUGGUGGGUUCUUGGUCUUACUGACUUUAAGAAUGAAGUUGCGGACUUUUGCGGUGAUCCACCCUACCACAUAUUGUCUCCUAAUGGCCGUCCAGUUUAUCCUGGAGCCCUUGCAUGACACAGGCCUAUCGAAGCAUAGGAGAUGCCAAUAUUUUACCUCUUGGGUACUUUCUGUGUAGAAGAUUCAUAACAAGAACAAUACUUAUUCUGCAAUUCUUUAUAUAAAGCUCCAGAGGGAAGUGAGAAGGAUGUUCACUUGCUGGUGAGAGAAGGAGCUGGUUCCAUCCAUUACGCAGUCCCCUGGGAGCGCUAAAUGCAACUUUAUCUCAACGGGGAGUGGACGAUGAGCAGGACGUCGCUAGAGGGAAAGAGCCUCACUUCCCGUUUCCUUUGGCAGCGCCCUUUUCCCGACCUAA